GCUCCGGCUCUGAGCUGAACGACGAAUAUAUUUCGCCACCUUAUAGCAGCGGUUCUUGUCGCCCAGCCAGCUCGUUCCCCACUGAAAGUAUCUCAGGUGAAGAUGAGAUCGAAGACCACACGGAGGCAGCAGUGUAAGCGGAUAAUGACAGUAAAUUGGCAAAGCCCCUCUUCCCUGGAUCAAAACUGACGGAAGGAGAGAGCAUGCUUCUCAUCAUGGGACACAGUCUGAGACACGACGCCUCGAAGGAGGCGACCGAAAGCCUUCUGAAGCUGGUUAAUGCGCACCUACCUGAAGGAACAGAGUUCCCAACAUCCAAGUAUUCAUUUUUCAAGUAUUUCACCAGCACUGAAUAUAAGAAGAGCAGACAUUUUUACUGUACCAGUUGCAACUCCUACAUUGGGACUCUGGAAGAAGUCGAAACUGUUUUGUGUCAGAAAUGCAAGAGUGAGUUUGACGUAAACAGUCUUGUUAGGACCUCAUCCUAUUUUUUUCUGCCUUGACCUUGCGUCACAGAUAACUGACAUUUUGAAAACCACACAAAUCAAGCUCAGCCCGACAAGAGUAUCAUAUGAUAUGUCGGACAUCACAGACAGUAUCGGCUACAGAAGGCUCCCUAGGGGACCUGAUGAUAUCAGCCUAACCUUCAACACGGAUGGUGUUCCACCCUUCGAAAGCAGCGGCUUUGGGAUCUGGCCUCUUCUACUACAGAUGAAUGAGCUGACGUACAAAGAGCGGGUUCAAAAGCAGAUCCUCGCAGGCCUAUGGUUUGGACCGAAUAAACCUGCUAUGAACACUUUU